AGAUUGAACGCUGGCGGCAGGCCUAACACAUGCAAGUCGAGCGGUAGAGAGGUGCUUGCAUCUCUUGAGAGCGGCGGACGGGUGAGUAAUGCCUAGGAAUCUGCCUAGUGGUGGGGGAUAACGUUCGGAAACGGACGCUAAUACCGCAUACGUCCGUACGGGAGAAAGCGGGGGACCUUCGGGCCUCGCGCCAUUAGAUGAGCCUAGGUCGGAUUAGCUAGUUGGUGAGGUAAUGGCUCACCAAGGCGACGAUCCGUAACUGGUCUGAGAGGAUGAUCAGUCACACUGGAACUGAGACACGGUCCAGACCUCCGUACGGGAGCAGCAGGUGGGAAUAGUUGGACAAGUGGGACAAAGCCUAGACUCCAGCCAUCGCCGCGUGGUGUAGAAGAAGGUUCUUCGGAUUAGAAAGCUAACGUUUUAAGGUGGGAAGGUAAGGUUAGUAAACCGUAAGUACGUUGACUAACGUUUGAACGUUACCGAA
rnacentral:rRNA from 1 species